UGGGGAAUAUUGCACAAUGGGCGAAAGCCUGAUGCAGCAACGCCGCGUGAGUGAUGAAGGUCUUCGGAUUGUAAAGCUCUGUCUUUUGGGACGAUAAUGACGGUACCAAAGGAGGAAGCCACGGCUAACUACGUGCCAGCAGCCGCGGUAAUACGUAGGUGGCGAGCGUUGUCCGGAUUUACUGGGCGUAAAGGGUGCGUAGGCGGAUGUUUAAGUGAGAUGUGAAAUACCCGGGCUUAACUUGGGUGCUGCAUUUCAAACUGGAUAUCUAGAGUGCAGGAGAGGAGAAUGGAAUUCCUAGUGUAGCGGUGAAAUGCGUAGAGAUUAGGAAGAACACCAGUGGCGAAGGCGAUUCUCUGGACUGUAACUGACGCUGAGGCACGAAAGCGUGGGUAGCAAACAGGAUUAGAUACCCUGGUAGUCCACGCCGUAAACGAUGAGUACUAGGUGUAGGAGGUAUCGACCCCUUCUGUGCCGCAGUAAAACACAUUAAAGUACUCCGCCUGGGAAGUACGAUCGCAAGAU
rnacentral:rRNA from 1 species